UAUAUAUAUAUAUAUAUAUAUAUAUAUAGAGUGAGGUUACUAUGCUAUCGGAAGCACGGAGCCUUCCGUGCUUCUACCUCAUUUUCGAUGUUGCGACUUUCGAAUCGUCGAUCGGCUCCGUUAAAAUUGAUCUAGAGUAUUUAGAGUACCUAGAAAAUAAAUUUUAUUAUUUUUCGAUAUCAUUUGCCUAGUAAUCGAAUGGGCUCAAAAUCGACAAAUUUCAAUGACCGUAGUGAGCCGUUUGCAAGUUUAACGGUGUAGAAAUAUCCAAAUUAUGUGAAAUUUUGAUAAAAAAUUUUUUAUACUAUAUAAAACAAGAUCAAUAUCUUUGAUUUAAAAUUUUAAUGUCAUAUUAUUACAUUUUGUAAGAUUUUUAUUUUCAGCCGUUGAUUUUGAGCCCCUUCGUUCACUAGGCAAAUGAUAUCGUAAAAUUAUAAAAUUUAUUUUCUAGAUACUUCAAAUACUCUAGAUCAAGUUUAAAUGAGCCGAUCGACGAUUCGAAAGUCGCAACAUCAAAAACGAGGUGGAAGCACGGAAGGCUCCGUGCUUCUCAUAGCAUAGUAGCCUCACUUU
rnacentral:lncRNA from 1 species